CAGCAAGAGCAAGAGCACCCCUGUCAUGGCGUCGCGGUGAUGAUGCUCGCCCGGCAAUCCUUCCACAUUUUCCGCCAUUUCCCGAUUUCGGGCGCCCAGCCGUACACGUGAACUAACAGAGUCUUGGCUUCAGGGCAGGUCGCUGAAAUGGUCCGCGAGACAGUGGCUGGCGAGGGAGAAGGAGGAAGAGGAGGAGGAGGAGGAAUGACCAAGAGGAGGGAAGAGACAAGAGGCCAAGCAGUGCAGAGGAGGAGAAGAAGGAGGAAGAAGAAGAGGAGGAUGUGACCUCUAUACAUAAAGGCAGAACUAUAUAUAGAAGCUUAUGGAGUAGAGGAAAUAUGUCAAUCUAUGGAGAAGGAGGAGGAGGAGGAGGAGGAGGAGAAGGUUAACUUGUAAAUAUAGGCAGUUUAUAUACCAAGGAAAAUAUUUAAAUGAUUUGUAUUAUGCAUCUAUUUAAAUGUACGUUAUGCACUUAAAUGUAUGUCUGUAUAAGGUUGUGGGAUUUACUUAUAUUGUCUGUGGUAUUUUUUUUACUUAUAAGGUUGUACUGAGGAUUUUACUUAUAAGAUCUAUGGCUGUAUGGAACUCCUACAAACCCUUUCUACUAUGGCUAUUAAUUAACAAAAACCUCUUAGUUUCAGCUUGUGUACAGGGUUAAAAUAUAGUUAAUGUUAGAGUUGGAAGUGUCUGACAGUCCCAUCUCUUUCUUACAGGCCAAGCAGGAAGAAGAAGGAGGAAGAAGAAGAAGAAGAAGAAGAAGAAGGAGGAGGAGGAGGAGGAGGAAGAAGAAGGAGGAGGAGGAGGCAACUUAUAAAUAUAGACAAGUUUAUGUGUCUAGGAAAAUAUUUAAAUGAUCUGUAUUAUGUAAAGUAUUGAAUUUAAAAUAUAUCUACUAAUAAUUUCUAUGCAUGUUUACAGGGUUACAUAUUUAAGCUGUAAUAUAAUUUACAUGUAUUUAAAUGGGGUUUUAAGUAUAAGGUGUUUGGUAUUGCUAUACUUAUAAAAUCUUUGGUUUUUGGGUAUAUAAUUCUAAGUAAGUGUUUCCCUACGUUAUUUAAGUGUAAAGUAAGUGUGUAAGGUAUUAAGUUAUAUAUUAAAGUGUGUACCGGGUUCUCUAAUAAGUGUGUAGUGAUGGGAAGUAUUUAAGUGUAAUGUAUAAAGGUUACAUAUAUAUAUAUAUAUAAGUAUUUAAGUGGGAGCAGCAAGUAGUGGGCUGUAUUUUUCUACACUUUUUUGCCCUUGAAAAAAAAAUACUGUGAAAUCUUUAAGUGUACUGUAUGAAGGCUAUACAUUUAUAAGUAUGUGUAACGUCCUGUGGGAGCUAACUAAUGUAAGGGUGAUUUCAUAAGUGUUACCGUAGUGGUGUGACUUAAUCAGCAACCUCUACUGCAAUUAGUCUGAGUACAAUUACUGGUUCUGGUACUCUGAGUAUAAACAAAACCUUUUAAUUUCAGUUACCAAGGACAACCUCUGCUGCUCUGGGUAUCAACUCCUGCACUCCUGGGACUGGUGUAACAUCUGCAUGCCCUCGUAAUAACUCACUCUGCUUCUGCUAUUCGUAACACCUCGCUCUGCGCCUGCUGUCGUACUAACUCCUGCUCGCUUAACCCGCAUGGAUUUUGUAUAACACCUAUAGUUUUCGUGUGACGGUUCUCUUCACUCUUCCUUCAUAACUAAUCGCACGGCUUUGCAUAAAAACUCCGGCAACUUACGGCUUAAAUUUCGCAUGAGAACUACUCCUGCUUACGUAUGACAAUUCUCUCUGGCUUUCCUAACAAUUCAUGGAUUUUGCAUAACCCCAUUCCAUUUCCGCUGUCAUGCUAACCCAUACUAAUGCUGGCUGGAGUAUCCUAACCCAUAGUCUAAGCUGCCGGCCAGAGCUUCAGGUGACCCCUAACUUGAAGCCUGUCGGAUCAGCGUCUAGCGAGGGAGGUUCCGUCAGGUUCCGUUCACCCCUAGAGCUGUCUCCCUUCACCUUAAAAAAAUAGUUUGACAUCAUUUGAGAGCAGCAGUACAGGCCAGGUAUCAGAGAGGGGUUCAGGCCUAUAUGGGGGCAUCUCCGUUAGGCUUGUACCUCAAAAAAUAAAAGAUUGAAAAUUAAAAAAGACUGUAUGUGAGAAUCCUGACUAUGGAGGGAGAUUAUCCUCAAACACGUACGGUUAUAUAUAUGUGUCUUUUACCCACCCAUGCGUGCAGUACGGUUGAACAUUAGAACGUAAGAACAUGGUGGUGGUGGUGGUGGUAGGGGAUCAUGUUUCUUAAUGGUCCCUCUAAGCGAGAAAAAUUAGAAAAAAUCAUCACUCACACAAACCAUUUCAUAAUACAUAUCCAAGCAUUUGUCAUCAGAUUAUGUAUCAUCUAUUUUGGGGGGUUUAUAUCAUGGCACAAAUUUGGCCCGUCGCUGCUACACGGUAAAGCCACAAAUUUGGCCCGUCACUGCUACACGGUAUAGCCACAAAUUUGACCCGUCGCUGCUACCGUAUUAAAAAGCAUUACCAAGCACAUCAGACGCCCGGGAAACAUACUAUACACUAUGAAAGCCUUACCAAGCACAUGCAACCUCUACCAAGCCUUACCUCAUAAAAUAAUCUACCAAUUAAUAUAUUUCCCUGGUCUAACAGUCUACAUUUUCAGGACUCGUAUUUAUAUAUUUAUUUUUAUUGUGUUAUUUUAGUGUUGUUGUAUGUCUGUUUAUUGAGGGGACUGUUUGGGUCUUGUAUUUUCUGUUGUAUAUUUCCAAGGCCAAAAAGGUCAGUAAUUGGGUUCUCAAUGAUGUUUUUUUAGGUUGAUGGUACAGAGGAAGGGUCAUAAAAGCACCCUUGUCUGUAACUCCCCUGAAAGCCUUGUCAAAUAUGUGUUUUUUAGGUUCAUGGUACAGAGGAAGGGUCAUAAAAGCACCCUUGUCUGUAACUCCCCUGAAAGCCUUGUCAAAUAUGUGUUUUUUAGGUUGAUGGUACAGAGGAAGGGUCAUAAAAGCACCCCUGUCUGUAACUCCCCUGAAAGCCUUGUCAAAUAUGUGUUUUU